ACCCGUUCGGGGUGUGCGUACCGUGGAACGAGCGGCGGAUGGGUGAGUAUCACGUGGGCAACCUGCCUGUAAGAUUGGGAUAACUCGCGGAAACGUGACGCUAAUACCGAAUGGAAGUCUUUCACCGCCUGGUGAAAGGAUGAAGAUGGCUCUUGAGCUAUCACUUACAGAUGGGCCCGCGGCGCAUUAGCUAGUUGGUCGGGGUAAAGGCCUACCAAGGCGACGAUGCGUAGCCGACCUGAGAGGGUGAUCGGCCAUACUGGGACUGAGACACGGCCCAGACUCCUACGGGAGGCAGCAGUAGGGAAUCUUCCGCAAUGGACGAAAGUCUGACGGAGGCAACGCCGCGUGAAGUGAUGAAGGUCUUCGGAUCGUAAAACUCUGUUGUCAGGGAAGAACAAGUUGUGUUCUAACAGGACAUGACCUUGACGGUACCUGACCCAGAAAGCCCCGGCUAACUACGUGCCAGCCGCCGC
rnacentral:rRNA from 1 species